GAUGAACGCUGGCGGCGUGCCUAAUACAUGCAAGUCGUACGGAAAGGCCCUUCGGGGUACUCGAGUGGCGGACGGCUGAGUAACGCGUGGGAACGUGCCCCAAAGGGAGGGAUAACGCACCGAAAGGGGUGCUAAUACCGCAUAUGGUCUUCGGAUUGAAGCUUCGGCGCUCUGGGAGCGGCCCGCGUACGAUUAGAUAGUUGGUGAGGUAAUGGCUCACCAAGUCGACGAUCGUUAGCUGGUCUGAGAGGAUGAUCAGCCAGACUGGGACUGAGACACGGCCCAGACUCCUACGGGAGGCAGCAGUAAGGAAUCUUCCACAAUGGGGGCAACCCUGAUGGAGCAACGCCGCGUGCAGGACGAAGGUUUUCGGAUCGUAAACUGCUUUUAUAAGUGAAGAAUAUGACGGUAACUUAUGAAUAAGGAUCGGCUAACUACGUGCCAGCAGCCGCAGUAA
rnacentral:rRNA from 1 species